CUCGGUUUAGGGUCAGUUUGUAUCACUUCAUGAUCCUCAAUGCUUGACUUUUCAAGAGUUUUGAGAUAUGAGGUCUUUCUUAGGUCGGCCGCACCCACUAUUGCUAGCUUCGAAAGUAGGUUGGCCGGCAUAUUUUUCACCCUUGGUAUCUGCAAAAUAUUCAUUGUAUUGAAGUUGGAAGUAAGAUCUUUGACCUUUUGCAAGUACAUCAUGUUUGACUUUUGAGCUUCAUAUUCUUCCUGCAUCUGGC
rnacentral:lncRNA from 1 species